UGAAUGACCCGCCGCCGAAGUGCCGCUGAAGACCCGGACCGCCGCCGGAUCCAAGUAUCUACUUCUGUGCUUCCCUUUGACAAGAGUAAGAUGGUGCAGCAAACUCACUGCGGUACGGAAACAACAAAGGUUUGGGACCUUAGACUGUAAGCUGCUUGGAGAGAAACACUAUUCUAUGUUUGUACGGUGAUUAACACCCUGGGGCCACCACCUGGCUGAGGCAUCUAGCGGCUACUGCAAAAAAAACAAGAAAUAAGAAUGAAGACUUUUGGCCUGAUAUUACAGCAUCCUUAAUUUAGCACCCCAUAAGAGCAGGAGGGGAGAAUCCAAGAGAAGUUUUGAUCUCCUUGUGCUGCCCUUAGCAAGAAGCUGGACUGUGCUCUUACCAAUAAAGCUGAA